UCUUUUGGAUGUAGGCUUAUG
rnacentral:piRNA from 1 species